UAAUUUUUCGCACGGUUCAUGAAUUGUAUAUAUUUAUCAAUAAAAAAGGUUCUCCCAGGACGAGGCUAUCCCAUUGCACUUCGGGUGUGCUGACGUCUGCGAUAUCCCCAAAUGCGGGAUACUCGACUGCAAAAUUUGUGGUAGUGGGGGACUGCGUUCGCACUCUCCCCUG